CUUGCUCUGCCGAUCGCAAGACGGGACCUGGCGGGGUGUGAUAUAGGUGGGUUAUGCACACGGUUUAACUACUUUACUACCAUUCUCGCACAUUUUGGUUGAAACAGAGCCUUAAUCGACCAAGGGCGAGCGAGGUAUCACACGCCCUCGGCAGACUUAACUUGACACGUGAUCGCAGAGACUCGUGCAGGUGGAAGCACCAGGAGGAAACUCAGCGACCAAAGGUCAAGUGCCAGGCUCUCCCCACGGCCAGAAGUCCGGGGGUGGCGCAGAAUGGACUCAAAACGCGAAGCUGUAAAAGAGUACGGGCAACAAAAUCUAUGUUGGCAAGACUACGCGCAAAACCUUGUGAGUUUGAUGACACGUUGCCGUGGAACUGAUAAAGUUCAAUAUGUACUUCAGCGUUUGCCGUGAGCACGUGCACUUAACAGACUCCUUGUUCAUGUACAGAAUCAAUGUUUAAAAUAUUUUUUUAAUCUACGUUUUCCUUGUAGUGUUACAUUUAAAAAUUUUGCUUACACUCUUCCCAAGAUUUUUCUAGUACGGAAUAAAUGCCUUUUCACAAAAUCAAA